UACGUAGGUGGCAAGCGUUGUUCGGAAUUACUGGGCGUAAAGGGCGCGCAGGCGGCGCACCAAGUCAGGCGUGAAAGCCCCGGGCUCAACCUGGGAAUUGCGCUUGAUACUGGGGUGCUGGAGUUCGGGAGAGGAGAGUGGAAUUCCCAGUGUAGAGGUGAAAUUCGUAGAUAUUGGGAAGAACACCGGUGGCGAAGGCGGCUCUCUGGACCGAGACUGACGCUGAGGCGCGAAAGCGUGGGGAGCAAACAGG
rnacentral:rRNA from 1 species